rnacentral:rRNA from 1 species
GAACUGCGAUACCUAGUGUGAAUUGCAGAACUACGUGAAUCAUCGAGUUUUUGAACGCAUAUUGCGCUCGAAGCUUCGGCUUAGAGCAUGUCUGGCUCAGUGUCGGGUA